rfam:Astyanax mexicanus chromosome 14, whole genome shotgun sequence.
GGGGAUGUAGCUCAGUGGUAGAGCGCAUGCUUUGCAUGUGUGAGGCCCCGGGUUCAAUCCCUUGCAUCUCAA